ACUGAUUUUACUCUUCAUUUAUCCCAUUGUCUUCCUUACUGUAAAACCCUAAUUCUUCCGAUCAAUUAAACCCCCCUCCCCUCUUCCCAUCCCCAAGUUUUCCUCCGAUUUCUCUUUCCAAAGUUACCCCGUUGUCGUCGCCCUCGCCCCUUCCAUCAAUUCCCGUUGAUUCAUCGGUAUUUUUCUCAAUUCUGGCCGGGAUGGUUAUUCUACUGAAUUGAUUCUUCUCCAACUUUGCGAUAUUUGUUAGGGUUUUUAGCUAGCAACGCUGGCGAUUGGCGCCUUGUACGGGUGAUGGCGGAUCCGCCACAAGUCCGCCCCGGGUUGAUGAUUAAAUGUUCGAGUUUAUUUCCUUCGGGGUUCGAGCCAUCGUUGGAAAAAAAAGGCGAGACAUUGGUUUGGGAAAAAUGCUAAGUGUGUCGCGGGUAUACCUUCCGUCUGAUAUACCCAUUGUAGGUUGCGAGUUGACGCCGUAUGUGGUUUUGAAGCGCUCCGAUACGUCUGUUAUUACCGACUAUAUUGACGAGUUGCAUCCCGUUGACGGGUACUUUUUGAGAUAUACUUGGUAUCGUAUACAAAGUGAGAAAAAGGCUGCUGUUUGUAGCGUCCACCCAUCUGAGCUGGCUACGUUACAAUGCCUUGGAUGUGUUAAGGCGAAAAUACCUGUUGCUAAGAGCUAUCAUUGUUCUUCAAAAUGUUUCAAGGCUGCCUGGCAACAUCACCGAGUUCUUCAUGAGCGAGCUGCUAGCGCUGUGAAUGAAAAUGGUAAUGAGGAGGAUGAGAUGUUUGGCCGCUUCAACGGUACUGGUAGCAGUGCAGGAUUAUCAGCUUCUCAAUCAAUCCCAAGCUUGUCAAAUGGCUCCACUGCAGUGUAUCCGGCUUCGGUUACUCAAAGAAGAAGUGGUGAAACCUUGUUUGAAAUUGGUUGUUGUAAGACCUAUACACCAAAGGUCGAUGACAUUGGUCAUGUCCUUAGAUUCGAGUGUGUUGUGGUAGAUGUUGAAACAAAGUUAGCUGUGGGAUCUGCUACCCCCUUAUCAACAUCUCGUGUUAUUCCAGCUCCUUUGCCAAGCCCGAGACGCAUGAUUUCUGUGGGUGGAAUAGAUGUUGCUGGAAAUCACGAUUUGGAUGGUCGCACCUUAGCUGUAGGGACCUUUACACUGCUCUCAUACAACAUUCUCUCAGACGCAUUUGCUACAACUGAUCAAUACAGCUAUUGCCCAUCUUGGGCUCUUUCUUGGCCUUACCGUAGGCAGAACCUGUUACGAGAAAUAGUUGGUUACCAGGCAGAUAUUAUUUGUCUCCAGGAGGUUCAAGGUAACCAUUUUGAGGAAUUCUUUGCGCCAGAACUGGAUAAACAUGGGUAUCAGGCUCUGUUCAAAAAGUGUACUGCAGAGAUGCUUCCUGAGAACAUCAGCAGUAAUGAUGGUUGUGCCACAUUCUAUCGACGUGAUAAAUUUUUCCAUGUGAAAAAAUAUGAGGUGGUUGAGUUCAAUAAAGCAGCUCAAUCUCUUACUGAGGCUUUGGUUCCUAGCACACAGAAGAGACAUGCUUUAAAUCGAAUGGUUCAGGACAAUGUUGCACUGAUUUUAGUUCUAGAAGCAAAACUUGGUAACCAGGGAGUUGAUUACCUGGGAAAGCGCCAGCUUAUUUGUGUGGCAAAUACACGGAUGAAUGUGCAUCAAGAAUUGAGGGACAUCAAACUUUGGCAGGUUCAUACAUUAUUAAAAGGGCUAGAAAAAAUUGCCCAAAGUGGAGACAUCCCAAUGUUGGUGUGUGGUGAUUUUAAUUCUGUUCCUGGAAGUGCUCCGCAUUCACUCCUUGCUUUGGGGAAAGUAGAGGCUCGUCAUCCUGAAGUAGCAGUAGACCCACUUGGCAUUCUUCAACCUGUUACAAAAUUAACACAUCAACUGCCUUUGGUAAGUGCUUACUCAUCCUUUGCAAGAGCUGGGAGUAGACUUGGCCUAGAGCAUAGAAGGAGAAUGAAUCCUACUACAAAUGAACCGCUGUUUACAAACUGCAGUAGAGAUUUUAUUGGUACUCAUGAUUAUAUAUUCUAUUCAGCUGACUCCUUAACAGUGGAGUCUCUACUGGAACUCUUGGAUGAGGACAGCUUGCGGAAAGAUACUGCUCUUCCUUCUCCAGAAUGGUCUUCAGAUCACAUAGCACUCCUAGCUGAAUUUCGUUGCAAGCCUAGGAGUAGACGCUGACAACUGGUCUAGCCUGAAGAGGAAUUUCACAAAUUGUCGCUGGAACUAUUAAAGAACAGAGCGGUUGUCUAAAUAGAUAAUGAAGUGAGUUGGCGUUUCCGGGUGAGAUCUAUUUUCAUUCAUUUGGAUGAUUAUGAAAUGAACUGACGCAGUGUUAACAAUGGGCUGGGAGAACUUUACUGGUUGGUCUGGACGAGCCUCGGCUGUUCAGCAAUUCCGAGAAGUCGAUGGACAGGAGACAACGGCAGUAGCAGCAACAACG